rnacentral:lncRNA from 1 species
GUCGAGGGGUUAAUGCUCUGGAAGACGGAUGAAAAGGCACUGCCCGAGAAGCGGGGUGAAGACAGCGGGAAGCUCAUGCUCACAGGCCGCUCUGUAACUGAAAGAAGCCACAUGGAAGGGAGGGAAAGCGGUUUCAGGCAUGAACCAUGGACCACAGAGAAGCCACUGGAGCCUGGGGAGAAGCCACCAGGCCACUUGGAAGAAGGCAAGUGGUCCCCAGGUUACCUCUCAUCAGGCCCGGGACAGCCCUGCCCCGCUUCUUCAGCUCCCCGAAGCAGCCGUCGCAGACCUUGGCCAUCCUGUCCUUCAGCAACAGAAUUGGCUGAGUAAUGUGGAAUGUGGCCAGGAGACCAGCCAGAUGCAGAGCCCAGUGAGCCCUGCCCUGCGUCUCUGUGCAGGGUGUGUGAUGUGUGGCUUCCCAGACAGUCAUCCAACAGGCACUUUCCAAGUCCCUGCUCUGCACCAGGGAGGGCUUCCUGAGUGGCAAGAGCUACGCCUGGGCUGGGUGCCAGCUAGCUGGGUGAAGUUCUCACAGUGUCCACUAGAUGCCGCGCCUACA